CCUACGGGUGGCAGCAGUCGGGAAUAUUGCGCAAUGGAGGAAACUCUGACGCAGUGACGCCGCGUAUAGGAAGAAGUUUUUCGGAAUGUAAACUAUUGUCGUUAGGGAAGAGAAAGGACAGUACCUAAGGAGGAAGCUCCGGCUAACUACGUGCCAGCAGCCGCGGUAAUACGUAGGGAGCGAGCGUUAUCCGGAAUUAUUGGGUGUAAAGGGUGCGUAGACGGGAAAACAAGUUAGUUGUGAAAUCCCUCGGCUUAACUGAGGAACUGCAACUAAAACUAUUUUUCUUGAGUGCAGGAGAGGUAAGUGGAAUUCCUAGUGUAGCGGUGAAAUGCGUAGAUAUCGAGAGGAACACUCGUGGCGAAGGCGGGUUCCUGGACAUUAACUGACGCUGAGGCACGAAGGCCAGGGGAGCGAAAGGGAUUAGAUACCCCUGUAGUC
rnacentral:rRNA from 1 species